CCCCGCCCCGGCCCGCCCCGCCUCUCCGCGUCCGCCCCGCCUCCUCCGCCCUCCCCGCGCCGCCCGUGCACACUGCCGGGAGCGAGCUCUCAGCGCUUGGCGCUACCGAAGCCACUAACCUUGCGAGGUGCCUCCGCGGGUACGAAGCUUUCGCUGCCGCGCGCCACGCGCCGUGCACCACGCACCACUGCCUCCGGUGCAGCUCCGCGCGCCUGUCCGCUCGCUCCCGCCAGCGUCCCUUCCCGCGCAGCUGCAGCGCGGGAGCCUCAGCGAGCGCGGCUCGCUCGAAGGUGGUGCAGGGGCCGCCAGCCUAGCCUCGCUUUCGCGGACUGCGGAAGGGACCCCACCCCCACCCCCAACCCGGUCCCCGCUCCGCUGAAGAAGGAGUUAGACAAAUUUGGAAGCCCUGGUGGCAUCGCCGGACUUCGGGGGCAAUAUCGAACGCUUGCUAGCUAAGCCUGUCAGGGUAACCCAGAGCUGUUGCUUUGCAGUCACAGGGAGCAAGCAUGGACAAGCAACCUUGCAUGUCUGCACCACCAGCUUCGCAGGCAGCAAGCUGCAGGGACCCUGCAUUCUGAAGGAGAAAGCGCAAUUAAGAGGAAAAUGCAGGCAGAAAGGAGGUUGAAACUUGGCAUAGUAUCUAUGAGAAGGCAACAAUAUGUGGAAGCGUUGAUCUGAUAUCGCGAGCUCAGAACCUAACUUCCUCUGUAUUUAUCACUGUCAUCAUCAUCAUCAUCAUCAUCAGCAGCAGCAGCAGCAGCAGCAACAGCAUCCUCAUCAUUAUUGCCCCAAAUAGUUUGGUGCCCUGCUUUUAGGUACAUACCUAUUAAAUAGUGUUUCGUCUUCUGGAAAAGUGACUCCUUUAUUGUAACACAAUAUCCUUCUGAUAAACCUUCAAUAUCCCUGAUAGUUUUCUUUGCUUUGCCCUUUGCUUCAUCUGAAAUCAGCAUAGUUACUCCUGCUUCCUCUGAUUGGCAUUAACUUGAGGGGUUUUUCUUCUACUACUAAUUUUUAAUCUGUAUGGGUUUUUUUUUGUUGUUUGUUUUUUCUUUUUGCUAUGCAGCUGAGGCUGAUACAGAACUCUCAUCCCUCCUGCCUCAGUUUCCCAAAGACCAGUGUCUUUGCAUACAGUGUGGCCUUUUAUAGAUUACAUACAGCAUGUCUUCUCUUUUAGAUAGACUGAUGACAUCAUUCAGGCACUCAUUUGAAUUUUCUCUCUUUUCUCUCAAAUAACGCCAUAUUUAUUGCUUUAUGGUAGUGAAAAUACUUGUAGCGAAAUAACUCUAAUGCCUCCUCCUGCUUGCUUCCAUUCACUUUUCAUAGGUGUGCACAUAUCUGGUAGCUGCAUCAAUGUAGAAUAUAGUAUUUUGCAUAAGCUGGUUCUGAUAAUUAAAUAUAAAAAGUGUCUUUACUUAUUUCUUCUUCGAUGGUUGGCUAGAAAUUAAUAGUUUUGGGGAAAGGGAUUAAAAAGCUUUCGUUUGUCUGAACUGCUUUAUCUUAUAAAAUUGGCUUAUACAAACAGUUUUUACAAGACUAAUUUUUUUAAAUGAAGAAAAAUAGAAGUUAACUUGUUAAAUCUAUAUAGUAGCUCUCUAAAUAAAAUCUUAUUUCUUCUUAUACUUAAUUUUCUAUUUCUAAAAUCUGUUAACAAAAGAUUAAAAAAUCCCUAGAAAUUCAGUGAAACAAAUACCUUGCAUCACUUCUCUUCGGGAUGAAAUUUAAAUUUGAAAAUAAAAUUUGUCCUAAAUUCUAAAUUGUAAUAGAUGAACAUUUGAUAGGUGUUAAACGUGUAGACAAUGUCCAGUGGCAGCUUAGAGAGAAUCUGGACCCAGAGGGAAAGCUAAGCCAACAGGCACUCAACAGAUGCUUGCGAUGCCCUUGCUCUGGACCAAGGUUUUCUCCACAAUAUCUGUACAGGAUGGGUAGUAAGGGUAUUCCUAUUUUCAGAAGUUAGGAUGCUAGGAUUUUAUGGUUCCGAGUCACUUGCCGUGACUCUAACUUAGGCUGCCUGACCUUGAAGCUCUUUAUAUGCCUCCUCUCAUGCAGCCUCAUAAUAAUGCUGUGGUGGAUUCCUCCUUCGAAGAUCUGGAAACAGAUGAAAUAAUAAAGAUAAAAUUAUUUUUCCAAAUUAUAAGACAGGAAUGGAUUCAAGCCAGGCCUGGCCAAUUCUACUGCUCCAGGGUUUCCAGCAUGCCAUUUUCCAGUAUGUGAGUGUACAAUCACACGCUAUCACAGGGACAACCUUUUAUAAUGAUUUAAUAAUUCAUUUGAUUUUGGCCUAUUCUUCUGUCGUCAUCUUUUCCCUGGAAAACAUGCUAUAUAGGGAAAAAACAAAAACCCACUGAUUCCUAUGACUUUCACUGCCCAAUUCAAUUUUAUGAUCUAGUAAAACACACCUGGGGCAUUUUCACUCCAGAUCAGAAUUGAACUUUGUAGCUACAGAGUUUAUGGUUCUGCAUGCUUUCCAGAAAGAAAAGCAGUUGGAUAAGGGCAGGGAACACUGGGUCUUCACAGCACCACUGAACGUUGUUUUUCUACUUAAUUCUGCAGCAGGAGACAGCUUUUCCUGAGGAAAACAAAAUGAAACGAAUGCAAUGAGUUCUAACUUGUAGAUCUCCUCAAAGUCUUCCACUCACUUCCGUUUCCCCCCACAUCUUCUCUCCCCCACCCCCCAAUGCUUACUUUAAACUCUACAAAGAAAGCAGAUCUGGAGAUGUUUUCCAUUAUGGUUCAAUGGAGCAAUAGCCAAGUGCUUGCGAUUACUGACGAAGAAACACAGCACAAUGACAGCACCAGUUGAUAUGACCAUGUGGACAGGAAAAUUUCACAGAGCCCCAAUCUUCUAUGAAGAACUACAGGCAAUUAAUGACUACAGUGGAAGAAGAAUCCGUCUUCUCUAGUGACCCUGAGAGAUUAAUCCAAGUGAUCUGCCCCAAACACUACAUGGACUCAGCAGACUGUAUUUAUGGACACACAUUGUUUCUAUAUAAUAUAUAUGUGUGUGUAAAAAAGAAGUCACGCAUAUGAGGAAGAAUGUGGGGCACAGAGUCAUAAACAUGAGAGGGAGGUGGAGAGAGUGAGAAGGAAAUGAUAUAAAUACAGUACUCAUGGAUGGAACUCUCAAAAAUUGUAAAAAGCAGAAAGUGGCUUUGGAAAGGCAACAGGACACUUUUGGAUGGAGUCUGUGAGAUUAAAAGAUUUUUCUAUGUUUA